rnacentral:lncRNA from 10 species
AACCUAUAGGAUCUGAUGCAAUCUCCAGGUAGAUACUGUCAGAAUUUGUUUAUUUAUUUAGUUUUUUUAUUGUUAUGAUUAUUUGAGAUGGGGUCUUGCUCUGUUGCCGAGGCUGGAAUGCAGUGGUGAGACCCUAGCUCACUGCAGCCUGGAACUCCUGGGCUCAAGCAAUCCUACUUCAGUCUCCUGAGCAGCUGGGACUACAGGCAUGCACCAUCGUGCUCAGCUACUUAUUUCAUUCUUGUAGAGACAGAGUCUUGCUAUGUUGCCCAGACUGGUCUCCAGUUCCUGGGCUCAAGCAAUUCCCUCCCACCUCUGCCUCCCAACGCUGGGAUUACCAAGGCAUGAGCCACUGUGCCUGGCUGAAGUCGGAAUUAAAUUGGGUUCAAGGACACCUAACUGGUGCCCACUAAAACAUUGGUUGCUUGCUUGCUUGCUGAUAGGGAGAAAUCCUCACAUGUUUGGUCACAGAUGUCUUCUGUGUUCAUUGUUGUGUUGUGAGAUCAGAGGAAAAACAGUUGUUUUUUUUCUACAUCAGAGGACACAAAUAUUCAGACCAUAGCAGCUGUGGCAGGAAUUUGCUGUUCUAUUCCAGCCAACACCUGAAGACUGGUCCAGGCUCUUCCUUUCCUAGAGCAUUUACUGAAACCAGCUCACAACUGGGAAUGCUUCCUUUGGCGUGUUGAGAUGUCCAUGUGUCUCCUACAAUCUAGCAGUGGCUCCUCGAGGAACCCAGAGCCAUUCCUUUGAAACCAGGAGGGAGAAGGCCUUAGUCUCUGCCAGAAGGUCUUUCCAGGACUCAAAGGUGCUCAAGUGCACAGCGUCUGUAAACUGGCCAGGACUAGCCCAAGGUCGUGGUCUCUCAUCAGCAGAAAGCUCUUGAAGUCAGUGUCUUGUCCAGUGAAUGCUGCCAUCAUGGCUGGUGGAGCAGGGGGUCGGAGAGUCAGCCUCUGUGAGCUGGCAAGUGCGGAAGAUUCACCAGAACCAUCAGGCAGAACCACACAUUUGUUUUCAGAAAUGUCUUUCCUUUCUUUCCACAAUGUUGCUUUGGCUUAAAUGUUUGUGUCAGAGACGUGUGAACCAGAGCAACUCCAUCUUGAAUAGGGGCUGGGUAAAAUAAGGCUGAGACCUGCUGGGCUGCAUUCCCAGGAGAUUAAGGAGGUUAAGGCAUUCUAAGUCACAGGAUGAGACAGGAGGUUAGCACAAGAUACAGGUCAUAAAGACGCUGCUCAUAAAACAGGUUGCAGUAAACAAGCUGCCCCAAACCCACCAAAACCAAGAUGGCGAUGAGAGUGACCUCUGGUCAUCCUCACCACUACACUCCCACCAGUGCUAUGACAGUUUACAAAUGCCAUGGCAACAUCCAGAAGUUACCCUAUAUGGUCUAAAAAGAGGAGAAACCCUCAGCUCUGGGAAUUGCCCACACCUUUCCUGGGAGACUCAUGAAUAAUCCCCACCUUAUUUAGCAUAUAAUCAAGAAAUAAACAUAAAAAUGGGCAACCAGCGCACCAUGCCACUGCUCUGCCUAUGGAUUAGUCAUUUUUUAUUCCUUUACUUUCUUAAUAAACUUGCUUUCACUUUAUGGAUUUGCCUCAAAUUCUUUCUUGCACCAGAUCCAAGAACCCUUUUUUGGGGUUUGGACUGGGACCCCUUUCGGGUAACAUUUGUGUCCCCAGCCCAAACUCAUCUGUGGAAGCCCCAACCCUCAAUGUGAGGAUGGCAUAGGAGGUGGGGCCUUGGGGAGAUAAUUAGGUCAUCAAGGUGGAGCCCUCACUGAUGGGAUUAGGGCCACUGUAAAAUGGACUCCAGAGAGCUGCCUCACCCCUUCCAUCACAUGAGGUUGCAACCACAAGACUGCACUCUACAGCCCAGAAGAGGACCCUCACCAGACCCCAGCCCUGCUGACACCUUCAUCUUGAACUUUCAGCCUCCAGACUGUGAUCAAAAAUUCUAUUGUCUACAAAUUGCUCAGUCUCUGGUGUUUUGUCAUAGCAGCUUGAAGUGACUGAGACAAAUGUCCUCACUUGAGGAUGAGGCAUCAGCAUUAUCAUGGAAGGACUACCAAUGAUCAUGGUGACUUUUUUUCUUCUUUAUUUCUUUAAACUGACAAAAAUUGUAUAUAUGGUGUACAAGGUACUGUUUUGAAAUAUGUAUUGUGUUGGGAAUAUGGAUUGGGGAAUGGCUAAAUCAAGCUAAUUAACAUAGACAUUACCUCACAUAUUUAUUUGUGGUGAGAACACCUAAAAUCUACUCUCUUAGCAAUUUUCAUGUACUACAUUGCUGUGAAUUAUAGUCAUUGUGUUGUACAUUAGAUGUCUUGAACUGACUCCUCCUGUGUCAGCGUGCCCUAGCCCCCUCCUGUGCCCUUUAGUCAGCGUCUCUGGCCCCCAGAUCCUGGUGACCAUCAUUCCACUCUCUGCUUUAUGAUAUCAACCUCUUUAGAUUCCGCAUAGAAGUGAGAUUAUGCAGUGUUUGUCUUUCCAUAUCUGGCUAAUUUCACUUAACGUAAUGUUCUCAUUUCACCCCUGUUGUCACAAAUGAGGGAAUUUCAUUAUGUUUUAAGGCCGGAAUAGUAUUUCAUUGUACAUAUGUACCAUAUUUUCUUUACUCAUUCAUCCGACAAUGGAUACUUAGGUUAACUCCA